rnacentral:rRNA from 1 species
GGGGGGGGGGGGGGGGGGGGGGGGGGGGGGGGGGGGGGGGGGGGGGGGCGGGGGGGGGGGCGGACGGGUGGGGAGCGGGUGGGAAGGUGGCGUUGGGGUCGGGAUGGCUCAGGGAAACUUGUGGUAGUACCGAAUGUGCCCUUCUGGGGAAAGAUUUAUCGGCUUUAGAGCGGCCCGCGUCUGAUUAGCUAGUUGGUUGCGGUAAUGGCUCACCAAGGCGACGAUCAGUAGCUGGUCUGAGAGGAUGAUCAGCCACAUUGGGACUGAGACACGGCCCACACUCCUACGGGAGGCAGCAGUGGGGAAUCUUGCGCAAUGGGCGAAAGCCUGACGCAGCCAUGCCGCGUGAAUGAUGAAGGUCUUAGGAUUGUAAAAUUCUUUCACCGGGGACGAUAAUGACGGUACCCGGAGAAGAAGCCCCGGCUAACUUCGUG